rnacentral:rRNA from 1 species
UACGUAGGGUGCGAGCGUUAAUCGGAAUUACUGGGCGUAAAGCGUGCGCAGGCGGUUUCGUAAGACAGAGGUGAAAUCCCCGGGCUCAACCUGGGAAUGGCCUUUGUGACUGCGAGGCUAGAGUGUGACAGAGGGGGGUAGAAUUCCACGUGUAGCAGUGAAAUGCGUAGAGAUGUGGAGGAAUACCGAUGGCGAAGGCAGCCCCCUGGGUUACUACUGACGCUCAUGCACGAAAGCGUGGGGAGCAAAC